rnacentral:tRNA from 1 species
GCGGAAGUAGUUCAGUGGUAGAAUACAACCUUGCCAAGGUUGGGGUCGCGGGUUCGAAUC